rnacentral:rRNA from 1 species
CUUUGCCCUUACGAAAGUGUGACAGGGUCAUCCCGAGUGCCGACCGCUGAGGUUGGCUUUUACCCAGUCUAGAAAGCUGGGGGAAUAAGGAGAGGGCAAGUCUGGUGUCAGCCGCCGCGGUAAUACCAGCUCUCCGAGUGGUGUGGACGUUUAUUGGGCCUAAAGCAUCCGUAGCUGGCUGAACAAGUCCCCUGUUAAACCCACCGAUUUAAUCGUUGGUCUGCGGGGGAUACUGCUCGGCUAGGGGACGAGAGAGGCAGACGGUAUUCCCGGGGUAGGGGUGAAAUCCUAUAAUCCCGAGAAGACCACCAGUGGCGAAGGCUGUCUGCUAGAACGCGCCCGACGGUGAGGGAUGAAAGCUGGGGGAGCGAACCGGAUUAGAUACCCGGGUAGUCCCAGCUGUAAACGAUGCAGACUAGGUGUUUGGACGGCCACGUGCCGUUCUAGUGCCGCAGGGAAGCUGUUAAGUCUGCCGCCUGGGGAGUACGAUCGCAAGAUUGAAACUUAAAGGAAUUGGCGGGGGAGCAC